UGAGGAAUAUUGGUCAAUGGGCGGAAGCCUGAACCAGCCAAGUAGCGUGCAGGAUGACGGCCCUACGGGUUGUAAACUGCUUUUAUGCGGGGAUAAAGUUGCCCACGCGUGGGUUUUUGCAGGUACCGCAUGAAUAAGGACCGGCUAAUUCCGUGCCAGCAGCCGCGGUAAUACGGAAGGUCCGGGCGUUAUCCGGAUUUAUUGGGUUUAAAGGGAGCGCAGGCCGCCGUGCAAGCGUGCCGUGAAAAGCAGCGGCCCAACCGCUGCCCUGCGGCGCGAACUGCCUGGCUUGAGUGCGCCGGAAGCGGGCGGAAUUCGUGGUGUAGCGGUGAAAUGCUUAGAUAUCACGAAGAACCCCGAUUGCGAAGGCAGCCCGCUGUGGCGCCACUGACGCUGAGGCUCGAAGGUGCGGGUAUCGAACA
rnacentral:rRNA from 1 species